rnacentral:lncRNA from 1 species
AUUCCUGUAAUUGUUUUUAAAGUGUUUACUUUUCUGUCUCUCCCUAGAAGGUCCUUGAGGAAUAUAUUUUUUGCCUUGUCUUAGAGCCUAUUAAGUAUAUAUUGGUUCAAUGAUGAUGGAUUAAUAGGAAUUCAAGUGAAGCCACAUGACUACUAGUAGUAAACAUCUGCCUGAGUCUCAGACAAACUCACUAAGGAAAAUAAAGGCCUGCAUGAGUCAAGUUAAUUAUAUUCUCAAAUGAACAGAAGGGCAAAAUGAGAUUAUAAUUUAGCUUUUCAGUGUUCUUUUUUUGCUACUUCAAGCUAAUACCUGCAUCUAAUAGCCAUAAACGCCUCUCACAUACUGUAGCCAAGUGGGCAACCCUUUGGGGAAGAUUUGAUUGUCAACAAAAAUUUAGCUACUACUCUUUAUUUUGAAAUUAGUUUACAUCUACAAAAACUUAAGCAGUAUAUCAAAAAAGCACACAUCUUAACUAAAUUGGGAUAUAUUCUGGGAAUGCAAGGAUAGUUUAAUAAUAGAACAUUAUUAAUGUAAUUUACCAAACUAAGAGAUUUAAAGUUGAAAAAAAAUGGAUAAUCUCAAUGGGUGUAGGAAAAGCACUCAAUAGACUUCAAUAAUAGCCAUUCAUGAUUAAAAAAAAAAACUUUCAGCAAAAUUGGAAUAGAUGGACAUUUCUUUUUUUUAAGAUAGAAACUUCUUUAACCUGAUAAAGAGCAUCUACCAAAAAUUUCAUAGCAACUGAUAUAUUCAGUGGCAAAAUAUCAAAAGCAUAUCCUUUAAAACCCACUAGAUCUACUUCUAAUCCUUACUGUACUAGAGAUCAUAUUCAUGAUCUUUCAUGUAUGAAAGACACAAGGAAGGAAAAAAUAAUAGGUAUAUGGAUUGGGAUAGAAAAAAUAAAACUGUGAGUGCUUGCAGUAUUUAUGUACACAGAAAAACCUAUACACAAUUUAUUAAACUUAAUAAAAUUUUACAAAGUGGCUAGAUACAAAAUCAAUAUGAAAAAUCAACUGCAUUUCAACACAUCAACAAAAAUAGACAUUUUAAAAAAAGGUUUUAUUUGUUUACUCAUGAGAGACACAGAAAGAAGGCAGAGACAGGAAGAGGGAGAAGCAGAUUCUUCGCAGGAAGCCCAAUGUCGGACCUGAUCCCAGAACUCGUGGAUCAUGCUCUGUGCCGAAGGCAGAUGAUCAACCGCUGAGCCACCCAGGCAUCCCAGAAAAUAUAUUUUAAAAUCUUUUAUAAUAGUAUUAAAAAUACCCCAAAAAACUAUGGGUAAGUUUCAUAAAAAAUAUUAAGACUUUAAUAAUGGAGGAAAUAAUAAAACUUAUUGAAAUACAAAGAGAAUCAAAUAAAUGGAGGGAGAUAACAAGUUUAUGAGUAGGGAGACCAGCAUCCUACAGAUAUCAACUUUUUCCAAACUGAUCCAAUACAAUUCCAAUCAAAAGUCUAACAGUUAUUUAAAAAAUGAAACUUGACAACUUGAUGCUAACAUGUGUUUGGAAGUUCAAAGGAACUCCUCAAACUUUUCCACACAAUUACAGGAAUCUGAUACAUGUCAGAAGUAAUGGGGCUAAGAAAACAGUUUUUUGAAUAUGGCUAAGAGAAAACUGGAUUUUUACUUCAAUAAAUGUACAAAACUUUGUUCUAGAUGGAUUAAGCACACAUCAAUGCAAAAGUCAGAAGUUUUAGAGGUUGCCUAACGAAACAGAAAAGAUAUUUGGAUAACAUAAAAUAGACCAAAUUCUAGUGUCCAGAGCAUACUAAUUCCUAUGAAUCAAUAUGAAAAGGACUAGCAAUCCCUUAGAAAAGACAAAAUAGGCACUUCCAAAAAGAAGAAACAUGAAUGGCCAAUAAUUUCAUAUGAUUUAUUCAAUUUCAUUAAAAUCAGGAAAAUGAAACUUAAAAUUACAGUUCAAUAUUAUUUUACACAAUGUAUAGGCAAAAAUAAAUGUGUGACAAAAAGAAGUGUUGAUGAGGAUGUGGAUAAACAAAAACUUCUACACGUUGCUGAAGAGCUUUCAAUGACUUUGGAUAAGAAAGUGGACUUACCUACUUAAGUUGAAUCUAUACACUCCUAUGUUCCAAUAUUUCAAUUGCAAACUUAGGUACAUACCUCAGGGAAAUUUUUAUACAUGUGCACUAGAAGUCAUACACAAGAAUAUUCAUGGAAACACUAUUUUUUUAAUUUUUAUUAUUUUAUUAUUUUUUUAAAGAUUUUAUUUACUUAUUCAUAGAGACACAGCUAGAGAGAGAGAGGCAGAGACACAGGCAGAGGGAGAAGCAGGCUCCAUGCAGGGAGCCCGAUGUGGGACUUGAUCCUGGGUCUCCAGGAUCACACACCCUGGGCUGCAGGCGGCGCUAAACCGCUGCGCCACCAGGGCUGCCCAGAAACACUAUUUUUAAUAGCAAAAUUGGAAACAACAAAAAUGUCCAUUGACAGAAAAAGGAAUAAAUUCACCCAAAGGAAUACUACACAACAGUAAAAAUAUACUGAUUAACAUGGAUAAAUCUUAAAAGUGUCAUAUUGAAUAAAAAAGCAAGUCUAAAGGAUUAUAUAUAUAUAUAUAUAUAUAUGUAUAUAUAUAUAUGUAUGAUACUAUUUUCACCAAGUUUAAAAACAAGCAAACAAGAAAACAGAUUGUUAAGGAUACAUACAUAUGUGGUAAGGCAAGAAAAUAAAUGAGAACAAAGCCCAAAAGAGUAGUUGCCUGGGUAUAAUCAGAUGGUAAUAGCAACACACAGGAACUUCAAUGGUUCUAGUGAUGUUCUACUUUUCAGUGCGUAUGUUGGAUUCAGGAGUUAUCUGUUUUAUUAUUAGUCUUAUAACUUACGUGUUUGAUAUGUUCUUAUAUAUGUACCAAAUUUUCAUAUAUUUUUAAAAAGAUUUUAUUUAUUUAUUCAUGAGAGAUACUGAAAGAGAGAGAGAGAGAGGCAGAGACACAGGCAGAGGGAGAAGCAGGCUCCAUGCAGGGAGCCCAAAGUGGGACUAGAUCCUGGAACUCCAGGAUCAUGCCCUGGGCCAAAGGCAGGCACUAGACCGCUGAGCCACCCAGGGAUUCCCCCCAAGUUUUCAUAUUAAGAACAAGUAUGCCCCAAAUAAUGUCUACCAAAAUGCUACAGGAGGAAAGCAAGUUGCAGCACACAUACAGUGUGAUCCUAAUGUAUAAACUAGAAAUAUAAAAUAAUAUUUUAUAUUGUUUAUGGAUACAUAUCUAUGUUAAAGUCUUUGAAGAAACAAACUGGAUAGAUAGGCUUAUAUUCAGGACAGUGGUUGUGCAGGGAACAAGAGAAAAGAGUAGAGUGAUGGGACAGCUCUGAGAUGAGACUGAAGAAGAGUUCAAUUUUAUCUCUAGUUUUAAUUUCUCUUAUUUGAAAAGGGUGAAGUAAAACAAAACAAAACAAAACCCCUGCAAAAUAAAAUCAAGUUUAUUGCAAAGUGCUGAAAUAUACUGAGAAGCAAAGCAAGGGGCCAGAGUAUAACAUUCCUGCCCCAUGUUCCUUUUUACCUAACCUCUCUUGAAGCUGACAGUGAAGUACAGACAAAAUAUAUUCAGGCCAGAUGACAAUAAAGCUUUGGCAACAACAGUCUCUUGUUGCCAGACAAACUCACUCAUUCAGAUGAAUAAUACACAUGGUUAUGCCCUGAGCUAUAAUUAGACCCAAUAUGAAUAGAUAAGUUUAUCAGAAGGAAGAACUUAAAAGUAGAGUAAAUUAUAGGUUUGUAGUUACAACAUGACUUCAAGGUAGAUGAAGAAUUUAGUUUAAAAAAUACACACAGAGAGAACACAGCUAUGAAACAAUGUGCAUAGACACGUUACCUAAAUACCAAGAUAUAAUUUCUCUGAGUUACUUUGAGAAAUUUUAAGAUGACCUUCCAAGAAUGGUCAUCACAGUUAAUUAUAUAAUAUAGGCUAACCGAGGAGUCACUAAAUACAGCCACCAAGGAAAAGACUCAGAAGUAGAAGUCAAGAGAUAUCUCACAGAAGCAGGCAAUGCCUGUAAGUUAUUCACAUUCAAUUAGUGCUUGUUUUAAAUUUUAUUUGGCUCUCAGUCAGAAUACCAAAUUUUAUUAGUUCUUUGAAGUCAGUAAGCUAUCUAUACAGUUAUCAACAAUGGAUUAAAUAGCAUAGGUAACAGUAUCACUCUGAGUUGGUUACACUGUCCAAAUGUGUCUUUAAAAAAAAAAAAAAAAAAAAACAGUAUUAGUAGUGACAAACUAUCUUGAACACAGAUUAGUGUUUUAAAAUGCAUCUAAAACUUUUAUUACUUCUUUAAUAUACACAAAUUAAGUCUUAGCAGUCUGACCUGCCCUUCUCUAUCACCUUAGAAGUAGCAUGUCUGUACCACUUGCAAUCCCAAAGCUUAUAGCAGUGGUUCUUAAACUACAAAGCCCUCUGUCCUAUUCUCAUUUUGAUAUGUCCCAGUUAAGAAACUCUGGAAUAAAAGUACAAAACUGGGUUGUACAAUAUGGUAACCAUAUAGCUACUGAGCACUUGAAAUGUGGUUACUUAUUCAGAUAUGCUGUAACUGUAAAAUAUAUACCAAAUUUUAAGACAGUAUAAAGGAAAGUAAAAUACAUCAUUACUUUUGGUUAAUUACAUGUUAAAUGAUAAUAUUUGAAUAUAUUGGACUAAAAAUAUAUUAAAACUAACCACCUGUUUCUUUUUAUUUUUUUAAUAUGGUUCCUAGAAAAUUUAAAAUUACACAUGUGGCUCAUAUUGUAUUUCUGUUCAACAAUAACUGUUCUAGAGCAGUGCUGUCUAAUAAAACUUUCUGUGAUAAUGAAAAUGUUUUAGUUCUUAUCCUUAUCCAGUAUGGUAAUCACUCACCACAUGUGGCCAUUAAGCACAUAAAAUGGAGCUAGUAAGAAUGAGGAAAUAGAUUUUCAAUUUCAUUUGAUUUUAAGGAAUUUAAAUCUAAAUAACUUCAUGUGGCUAGUGGUCACAUAUAUUGGACAAUAUAAACCUACUGCUCCAGUAGUACAUACUGACCAAAUGUUUUUUUUUUUAAUAUGUCAGAAUUAUUUGGUUUUAUAUAAAAUAGAAGAAUGGGCUUUUAUAGACUUUGGACCAAAAAAGUGAGAAGCAGAACCUGCAGACCAUUUUAUAUUUUCAAUGAUCACUUCCCCCUUAAGUUAACCAAAUAAAAGUACCGAGGUCACCUGCACAAUAGAGCGAAUGAUGAAGAACAUAACUGGACUCUGAGUCAGACUUUGCUCUUCUGAAUCCUAGUUCUACCAUGUAAGUUCUGUAGAGCCCUGAGUGAAUAUGUAAUCACCCCAUAUAAUCUUUCAAUGUCUUCAUUUCCUCAUCUACAAAAUGAGGCAACUACAGCACCAACCUUGCAGAGCAACUGUGAAGUUUUAGUAGAGUUAUACCUACCAGAGCUUCGAAAAUGGGGUCUGUAAUGGCCCAAAUGGUAUGCUUCCAAUGUCAGCUGCUCUUCUAGGUGUUGUUAUGCUUUGUGAUAUAUAAUCCAGAAGCUCAUGAACACAAUCAAAAGAUUAAUUGCCUGAUUUUAUAAGGAUUUCAAGAUCCUAGGACUAGGAAACAGGCUACCAAGACCCAUACAUUAAUAAUCAUUACCCCUACCACCAUUAUCACCAUCAUCAUCUUGCAACGUAAUCUUAGGAUAUAUAUUUAGAUAGGGCAGAACUUUAGAAACCAACAGAAAUCAAAGCUGCCACUUCCAGGAAAUCCAAUCUGUUGCUGAAUGGAAUGUUUAUUUCACACCAGGAUUUUCAGGCAUGAGGAUAUUUAGCACUGUUUUCUCACUUGCAGUAUUCUUUUUUCUUUUUUUUUAAGAUUUUAUUUAUUUAUUCAUGAGAGACGCAGAGAGGAAGAGAGGCAGAGACACAACACAGGCAGAGGGAGAAGCAGGCUCCAUGCAAGGAGCUUGAUGUGGGACUCGAUCCUGGGACUCCAGGAUCACGCCAUGGGCCAAGGCAGGCAGGAGCUCAAUUGCUGAGCCACCCAGGGAUCCCCUCACUUGCAGUAUUCUAAAUGAUCAAUAUUCUUAAUUUUAUUUUCAGGUUUGAUUUUUUAAAGAAGAUAAACACAGCUAAGAGAGUUACAUUCAAAAUAAAAUCCAAUUAGAUAAAUCUAUUAAAAUGCAAAUGUCAGUUAGCAAAUUACAAAUUAGUUGAAUAAUCAAAGUUGCCACUAAGAGAAAUUCUGUUAGAGAAUCAAUGUUGUAAACUGCGUUCAGCUUUCUAUGCUGCUGCCUACAGUGGAUGAGCCCUUCUGUACAUAUAAAAUAUUACACACUUAACAAUAAAAAUGCUGAAAAGGAUUAAACUCUGACUGUAUUUAAGAUCAUAAGAUUUUUAAAUACAUCUGAAUACUUUCAGUGUGCUGUGACUCUAAGACCAAGAGUUUUUGGCUCUGUCUGCUGCCUUUUCAUUUAACACUGACUCUAAGAUAGAAAAAGAGUAAGGCAAAAAAAAAAAAAAAAAAAA